GAGCUUUCCACAGAGCCCAAAGAAUCCAGGGCACAAGAGGCGAGGACGUUAGUCCUGUCGGGGGAAGGCAACCAAGCCUAUGCAAGUCGUUCCAGUCAGCUCUCAAAUCUGUCAAUCCGCUAAUUCCAAAGCUUCCAUCCAGCGGAGCAAGUUUCCACACUUCGCGAGCAAACGGACAAUGGAAAAUAAGAUGAUUGAUAG
rnacentral:lncRNA from 1 species